UACAGAGGGUGCGAGCGUUAAUCGGAAUUACUGGGCGUAAAGCGUGCGUAGACGGCUAUCUAAGUCGGGUGUGAAACCCCGGGCUCAACCUGGGAAUUGCAUUCGAGACUGAAGUAGCUAGGGUACGGUAGGAGGGAAGUGGAAUUUCCGGUGUAGCGGUGAAAUGCGUAGAGAUCAGGAAGAACACCGGUGGCGAAAGCGUUCUGCUGGGCUGCGACUGACACUGGAGGGACGAAAGCUAGGGGAGCGAAUGGG
rnacentral:rRNA from 1 species